rnacentral:rRNA from 1 species
UACAGAGGGCGCGAGCGUUGUUCGGAAUUACUGGGCGUAAAGCGCACGUAGGCGGACAUUUAAGUCAGGGGUGAAAUCCCAGAGCUCAACUCUGGAACUGCCUUUGAUACUGGGUGUCUUGAGUAUGGAAGAGGUGAGUGGAAUUCCGAGUGUAGAGGUGAAAUUCGUAGAUAUUCGGAGGAACACCAGUGGCGAAGGCGGCUCACUGGCCCGGUACUGACGCUGAGGUGCGAAAGCGUGGGGAGCGAACAGG